rnacentral:sRNA from 1 species
CUGCUGCGGACAGAUAAAAUGGAUGUGUGAAUCGAUGCCGCCGGCAGUCAGGAUUUGCCCUUCACCGGCAAUGAUCUCGGUGCCUGGUCCGAUGACAAUGGUGACGCCGUCCUGCACGUCGGGGUUGCCGGCCUUGCCGAUGGCCAUGAUACGGCCAUGCUUGAUACCGACAUCGGCUUUGACCACACCCCAGUGAUCCAGGAUCAGGGCGUUGGUGAUGACCACAUCCAUGCUCUGCGCAUCGCCGCGCUGGCUUUGACCCAUGCCGUCCCG